CGGAACCUUCCGGAGCUUUGCGCCGAUUUAGGGUUUUCGUUUCGCCUAUUGAUUGUUGGAUUUUGAGGAUAGUGAGGAUCAGAUCUGUGCCUGGUUGGUCUUUUGUCUUGGGUAGAUCGGUCAGAAGAGGGAAAUCGCUUCUGUGCACUUUGGAUGAGUCGGGAUUGGGAAAUGCCGGUGAGGAGAGGGAACGCUCGAAGAGGUGAAAGUUUUUUCUUCGGAGCUGCUAAUUAAGGGAAGGCAUUGGCAAUGAGAUUCAAAAGCAAAGGUAUGUGCGCUAAAUAUCACUUCUUUUACUGUGGCUUUGUGCUCUUUUCCUGCUCGGACAUGGCAUACAAAUAAUCUUGCCUGAGCCAAAUCCGGGGCACAAAUGAUCCGGUUCAGAUAUGGAUCUGAGUUCUGUGUUGGAACUGGAUUUCUGUAUUAGGAGUAAGAGGGACAUGUUGGAGAAUAGAAUUACUGAGCUGGAUUUGUUGGAAAAAAGAUAGAAACUUGAUAGAGGCUAAGGUUGACGAGGAAAAGUUUUACAAGAUGCAAAUGGAAAGAAUAUCAAGAGAUAAAAGAGUUACAUUGGUGUCCAAAAUCUAGAGUUUCUUGGUUAAGAUGUGGUUACAUCAACUCGAAAAUACGACCAUGCUACCAUAAAUGUAACAAGCGUAAAUAAUGUAGCAGAAUUAGAUAAGAAGCAUUUAUUGAAUGUUUUUGGCUUUCUAACAUUUAGAUUUGUCCACUCUGUUUAAUGAUAACUCUUGCAGAGAUAUCUUAAACGUUUUAGAUGAGAGCUUUCAAUUAACGAUGUGGCAACUGCAAUAUGUAAGAGACUGAAAGAUGGCCCUUGGGCUGGUAAGCUUGAUGGUUCUAAAUUCAUUUUGUAACACAAUGCUGGGGCAUAAUAAAGGAUAAUUCACUAGUGGUCCUCAGACAUUUUUGGAGAAAAGUAGGUUUGGAUAAUCUAAAUUAUGCUUUCAUUAUGUUGGUGCCAGAAAAAGAAGGUGCUUGUAGAGUUAGAAUUUACCUAUUAGUCUGCUUCAUGUGAUGAUGAAAAUUGUUUCAAAGCAUUCAUGGGAUGAUUAAAAUAGCUUCAAGAUUCCAGCCAUUGGUCCUUAGGAAGUUCUGAAUUAAGUCAUUGGCCCCAUAGUGUAUGUGGUUUCUGAAUAACAAGUUGUCAAUGCAUAUAAGGUGAUUUCAGCUUGCUACAGGAGAUCGGGCUAUGGAUUCUUGAUAAAAUUAAUUUAUGAGGAAUUUUUUGACCAAUUUGAAUGGUGUACUGGGAAUUGAAUAAACAAACGUGGCAUGAGACAAGGAGGAGAUCUACCAGCUUCUUAUCUCUUUUAUUUCUUUUGAUAAUUUAAUGUCCUGCGCAUGAUCAUGAAGGAUAAGUGUCGCACUUUAGAAUUGUUGAGAAGUAAAUUUCAGGGCAUGAAGAAUUAAAAGGGCUGCCAAGAUUUCUUGAAUGUUUUUGAUAAGAACUUUUGAUUAAUAAGGUUACAACUGCAAUGUUAAACAGACAUAAGGAUGGGGUCUGAGCUACCAGAUUUGACGUUUCUAGAUUCCUUUUUUACACAGAAUGUUGGAGCAUUACAAAGAAUGACUAACACAUGGUUCUCAUGGAUCUUUAGAGGAAAAGUAGGUCGGGAAAUUCUAAAUUAUGCUUUCAUCACAUUGGUGUCAGAAAAAAGGUACUUGCAAAGUAAGAGAUUUUGAAUCUGUUAGUCUGCUUCACGUGAUGACUAAAAUUGCUUCACCAGUCCAGCCAAUGAAUUUUAGGGAGUUUUGUAUAAUGUUAUUGACAUUUGACCAUACACGGUCUUAGGUGGUUUAUGAAUAGCUACCUCACCAAGUAUGAAGUGAUUUCAGCUUGUCACAAGAUAUCAGACAAAUGUCUCUUAACUGAAUUACUUCUUGAAAAUGCAGUUGUAUGAUGUACCCCUGCUUUUUUGGAGACGGAAAUUUUAGUUCAAAAUUGGUAAUGAAUAUUUUGAAAGCUAGUAAUUAGGCUGUUGUUCUAAAUAUUUUCACUUUUCUAAAUUAUUUUUUUCUAUUUCUCUUAACUUGUUUUUUUUUUCCUCUUCUCCUCUCUGUUUCAUCUUUGUGCUCCUGUAUGGUUAUAAAUGGAGACAAAGGCUAGUGAAGAUCAAUUAAAAGGUCACUGUAAUGUAAUAGUUUAUGAACAACAAAUGAGUUUAGGAAAAGAGCAUGAGAUGGAGUAAAUCACGCGGAGUGACAUAUCCAAUUGAACCUUUUAAUCUGAAGAUGCGACUUGUCUCCUUAGGAAAAUCACCAUAAGCAGUCUCUUAUGGGAACUCUGCAGAUCCAAUGCCACACAAAUUAGCAAUCAUUUUGUUGUCAAGAACAUUGCUGUGUCCCGCUAAAGUGAUGAAGAUAGUCCAAAGUGGAAGCCCAACGAUUGCCAUGUUCAGUUUUUGGAGGAGGAUUAAAUUGCCAGAUGCAACACUAUUCAUUUCUGCUGCGGGGUGCAACCAGUCAUUUACACUCCCAUUAGGCAUGUACUCAGUGUCACCAGGCAAGAAGGCACCAUCAUUUCUGAUUUAUGCUAGAGCAAGUUGGUUAAGAUCUCAGUGACACUUUGAUGUCAUUCUUCCUCGAGUUUCACAUUCUGCUUUCAGACUUUGAAUUCCCCCGAGUUGUUCAGUUUUGAAUACCUUAACAGCAACAUGGUUCGGAUCAUUGCCCAUGGUUCCUCUGCGUGCUUGACCAAAACUUCCCUAGCCAAUAAUAUUAGAUGAGCAGGUUCCAUCAGUUGCUC